AUGAAGAACGUAGCGAAAUGCGAUAAGUAGUGUGAAUUGCAGAAUUCAGUGAAUCAUCGAAUCUUUGAACGCACAUUGCGGCCAUAGGUAUUCCUUUGGCCAUGCCUGUUCGAGCGUCAUUUACACCCUCAAGCCUAGCUUGGUGUUGGGCGCCUGUCCCGCCGUUUUCGCGCGCGGACUCGCCUCAAAGUCAUUGGCGGCGGUCGUGCCGGCCCCCUCGCGCAGCACAUUUGCGCUUCUCGGAGGCCCGGCGGAUCCGCGCUCCAGCAAGACCUUUCACGACUUGACCUCGGAUCAGGUAGGGAUACCCGCUGAACUUAAGCAUAUCAAUAAGCGGAGGA
rnacentral:misc_RNA from 1 species